GUGUUCCACUAACAUUUCUUCCUAAUGAGAGCAAGAUCUGCCUGAUGCAAGCCUGCAGAGACCCAGAAAUUUGGGAAUUGAUAAUCUGGAUGGCAAGCUUCACGUGAGCUGGUACAGGGAGCUGGAUUUAAGUAGUCUCCAAAGCAGCCUUCAGCGCUUCGUUCUCAUCCAGCUGGAUCACAAGCCUGUGAGGAAACAAAAGGCAACUUUCAUGUGAGCUGUGGAGCUUCAAAGCAAAUUAGAACAGUGCUUCAGCUCCAGGGAAGAAAGCCCUGAAACACAUGCUCUCUGGUAAUUUUGUAACAGGCUUGAGAAAGAGCAGACUUAUAAACACUUGUUCCUUCUCUCUUUGAGAUAGAAAAGGGUAUUAGAAGACCAAAUACUUUUCAGAUGUUUUUUUAAACGUGUAAUUUUGUUUUCACUAAUAGCUUGAAAUCAAUGGCUAAGGAAAGAAAAAGAGAAAAAAGG